UAGACCCUACUCACUACUGCGUUGUGUUCCUGCCGGUGAGUAAGGUUGCCAGAGCUCAACGAGGCGAAGUUUUUGGGUCGGCAACGCGCAUGUAACUCCUCUGGAGUUGCAGGCGUACAUAGGCUACAGAGACUGCUUACCAUCAGGCGGGCCGUAUGCUUGUUUGCCACCGAUGUAGUAUUAAAAAAAAAUGCUCCUGUCAAAAAUUUGCUAUUUAUAUAGCAAUCAUGACAACUUCAUGUUUAAGUUGAAUAUACACGGUGCCCGCAAGCAAACGGAAAGAUUUUAACAGUAUAUUCAGGCUCGUAUUUACGAGACAAAAUGUCAUAUAAACUUUUUUUUAAUUCACCUAGUUUCAGAGUUAAUACUAACUACACCAACAAUUUUUUUGGCGGAAUAUACUUAAAUUUGUAAAAAUUUUUUUUCGUGUUAUAACCUCAAAAUACGUGGUAAUUUUUUUUUCCGUUUCCCCGCGGGCACCUUGUAUAUGGAGCAUAUCUGAUCCCAAGCAUACCAAAGGUUAAACGAAGCAAUUCUAUACCAUGUGAUUUUGGGGUCGUGAUACCGAAUGUCAAUAAUGUAUGGAAAUGAUCAUACUUAACAAGGUUUCGAGAAAAAAAUCUAAUGGACAGCUUGAGGGCCCGACGUAGAUGAAAUGUAUGGGGUAAAAAACACGAUUUUCAUAUCGGUCCCAUGGCAAAAUAUGAUCUUUGUUCAGUAUAUAUAUAUUUAUAUUUUGGGGAUCUCGGAAACGGCUCUAACGAUUUCGAUGAAAUUUUAUGUAUGGCGGUUUUCGGGGGCAAGGAAAAAUAUCAGAUAUCAUAUUAAGGUUAAUGUGGAGAAGUCUGUCUGUAAUAAAAGACCGUCUACAAGCUCUUUCGUUAUGCAAAUAGAUUCAGACCAAACUAAGUUAGCAGCGAUUUUAAAGAAAGAAAGAAAGAAAAUACAUUUAUUGACGUCAUAAUGUGUACCAACAUUUGAUAGCCCGGACGGCGCAAGUGUUAUUUUAAACAUCAAACUUCUAUGAAAUUAUGACGUUUACCUAACACUUGCACAAUGCACAGACUGGGCUAUCAAAAUCGCUGCUAACUUAGCUUGGUCUGACUACGAGAGGAGGCCUAUUACGCUCUGCCCAACAAUAUGUAUUAGUUUGAUAUAGAGUAUUGUAUACAUCUUGCGGGAAUUCUGAAAGGUCAUGAAAUGAAUCGUUUUGGUUCGUUUGUUAUACCACUUAGUUAUUUCUUAGUAAAAUAAAAACAAUACAACUUAAGAGGGAAGAAUAGCUUUGCACCCGUAACGAAAUAACGGUACGGUAACGGGUCGGCAACGCGCAUGUAACUCCUCUGGAGUUGCAGGCGCACAUAGGCUACGGAUACUGCUUACCAACAGGCAUUUUAAAUAUAAGAAGCCAACUCAAAAUUUGCAUCGGAUUACUUUGCCGUUUUUGAACAAUGGUGUGGUGAAAAACAUUUUCUCUUUCUGCAUGGAACGUAGUAUACUUCCCUCUUAAGAUGUAUCUUUGUUCUUAAAAUGACUCAAGUGAAUUAUGACUGCGUCAUUUUCUCUGACAUUAUUGCAUAUUGCUUGUCAACUGAAGGAAAACCAUAAAAAUCAUUGUCACUAUAGAUUUUCCUGAGGCGUAAAUCAUAGUAUAGGGGAUAUUUAUUUAUUACGUGAGACGUAUUUGCCAGUUUUCGACUCGCUGUAUUAUGGAAGAAUCUAAAGCAAUGGUGGGCAAACUGUCUUCAUGGGGGGUCAGAAAAUUUAAGAGGGCCAGAAUUGCAGCAUUAAUGUGUUUUGAUUACCGUGGGCCAAUGGAUAAAAUCCUUUUGCGGCCCGGAGCUGGCCCGCGGGCCGUACUUUGCCCACCACCAUCUAAAGAAAAAAAAAUGUAUACACGUUUGGUUUGUCUUUGUUUUUAUUUAUAAAAAUUGGAACGUUUGUACCGCACAACCCGAGAAAUGUCUCUAUAAUAGUGAAUAAUUGUCUCUGGUUCAUAUCACGUCCAAAUUUAGUAAUAAGAUGUCAAUGUCCAGUCAAGGUAUUAAAUAUCUACACGGACAAAGUGCCAAAUAUAUGUAUACACGACCUUAUUGCCCAUACAUUGAAUGGUGUUUACAUAUUUUUGGCACUUUGUGCGUGUCGAUAUUUAAUACCUUGACUGUACUUAUUGAGUAAAGAUGGCCAUAAUAAAUAAUAUUUUAAAUUAGAAUAGGAAUGUUGCUUUUAACAGGUAAUUUUAUCUACAGAUUAAACAAGAUCAAAUAAAUAAAAAAAUAUGGAUACGUUUAGUGAAUCCAGUCAACAAAACCAUGGACUUGCAGUAGAAAGUUUUGAUUGGAGUAUUAUUUGUUGUGGCCCCGUCGGUUUUAUCACUUAACAUUGAAUAUAGUUCCAGUAACAAAUCGUGUUCGGAAUCAUUUAUUUUUGUGCAUUUUUACAAUAAAGUAUAGAAAUUA